GAUGAACGCUGGCGGCGUGCCUAAUACAUGCAAGUCGAGCGAAUGGAUUAAGAGCUUGCUCUUAUGAAGUUAGCGGCGGACGGGUGAGUAACACGUGGGUAACCUGCCCAUAAGACUGGGAUAACUCCGGGAAACCGGGGCUAGUACCGGAUAACAUUUUGAACCGCAUGGUUCGAAAUUGAAAGGCGGCUUCGGCUGUCACUUAUGGAUGGACCCGCGUCGCAUUAGCUAGUUGGUGAGGUAACGGCUCACCAAGGCAACGAUGCGUAGCGGACCUGAGAGGGUGAGCGGCCACACUGGGACUGAGACACGGCCCAGACUCCUACGGGAGGCAGCAGUAGGGAAUCUUCCGCAAUGGACGAAAGUCUGACGGAGCAACGCCGCGUGAGUGAUGAAGGCUUUCGGGUCGUAAAACUCUGUUGUUAGGGAAGAACAAGUGCUAGUUGAAUAAGCUGGCACCUUGACGGUACCUAACCAGAAAGCCACGGCUAACUACGUGCCAGCCGCCGCGGUAA
rnacentral:rRNA from 1 species